rnacentral:rRNA from 1 species
GUAGGUGGCAAGCGUUGUCCGGAAUUAUUGGGCGUAAAGCGCGCGCAGGCGGUUCUUUAAGUCUGAUGUGAAAGCCCACGGCUCAACCGUGGAGGGUCAUUGGAAACUGGAGAACUUGAGUACAGAAGAGGAAAGCGGAAUUCCACGUGUAGCGGUGAAAUGCAUAGAGAUGUGGAGGAACACCAGUGGCGAAGGCGGCUUUCUGGUCUGUAACUGACGCUGAGGCGCGAAAGCGUGGGGGAGCAAACAGGAUUAGAUACCCUGGUAGUCCACGCCGUAAACGAUGAGUGCUAAGUGUUAGGGGGUUUCCGCCCCUUAGUGCUGCAGCUAACGCAUUAAGCACUCCGCCCUGGGAGUACGGCCGCAAGGCUG